GAUGAACGCUAGCGAUAGGCUUAACACAUGCAAGUCGAGGGGCAGCAUGGUCUUAGCUUGCUAAGACUGAUGGCGACCGGCGCACGGGUGCGUAACGCGUAUGCAACUUGCCUCACAGAGGGGGAUAACCCGUCGAAAGACGGACUAAUACCGCGUACACUCCAUCUUGGGCAUCCAAGGUAGAGGAAAUGAAAUUCGCUGUGAGAUAGGCAUGCGUCCCAUUAGCUAGUUGGUGAGGUAACGGCUUACCAAGGCGACGAUGGGUAGGGGAACUGAGAGGUUGAACCCCCACACUGGUACUGAGACACGGACCAGACUCCUACGGGAGGCAGCAGUGAGGAAUAUUGGUCAAUGGGCGAGAGCCUGAACCAGCCAAGUCGCGUGAAGGAUGACUGUCUUAUGGAUUGUAAACUUCUUUUAUACGGGAAUAACAAGAGUCACGUGUGACUCCCUGCAUGUACCGUAUGAAUAAGCAUCGGCUAACUCCGUG
rnacentral:rRNA from 1 species